UUUCAACAUGUUGUAUUCAGGGUUCAGCUCAUUUGUGAUCUCUAUGGAAGCGGAAGGAAAUGCUUCAGAAACACUUUACAAAAUGCUCAUUUUCAUGCCAUGAAUAGGUAUUACAUUAAUCAUGGAAGAUUAAGAAUGGUCUCCCGAAACCAUCUUAUGAGUUAGCUGUUAAAGGAGGAGACAAAGUUAAGCAUACAAAUGGAAGGAAUCGAGGUUACAUGUAUAAAUUUGUAACUUUAUGGUUUAUAUUAACUCUACUAUUAUGGAAUGAUUUUAGUAUAUAUAAGUAUAAUUUAUGCUAUUAGGUGUAUGGUACUCUAUUAUUAUAGUAUGAUGAUUUUAGUGUAGAAGUAUAAUUUUGUAACUUUAUGUUAUUAAUGGAUGAUUUUGGAUUAAAUAAAUUUUGGUGUAUGGUACUCGAGAAACAAUAGUAAA